ensembl:misc_RNA predicted gene, 27817
GGUAUUUACAUAUCUUGGGGAGAUUUAGAGCAUAAACGCUAAGAUCUUUGGUAUUUAAGUGUCAACAUCGAUUUAUUUAUUUAUUGCUGAGCUGACUGUAACUGACUCAAUAACAAAUUUAAUCAUGUAUUGCUCUGGAAAAGAACUACUCUCGUUAUGUAUUUUCUCCAAAUAAUGACCCACCAUUGCAUAUGAAUGCCCACUGUAAAUAUCAAUAAUAUCAAGUAAUUACU